ensembl:snRNA U6 U6 spliceosomal RNA
GUGUUCACCUCAGCAGCACAUAUAUUAAAAUUGGAAUGAUACAGAGAAGAUUAGCAAGGCCCCUGCACAAGGAUGACAUGCAAAUUCAUGAAGUGUUCCAUAUUUUU